AUCAGCUACAUGAAGUAUAAGCCA
rnacentral:siRNA from 1 species